ACGCGGGGAAUCUUACCGGGUCCGGACACACUGAGGAUUGACAGGCAAAUCUAAUAGAAUCUGUCUUAUUUCUAAUAAGUAUAGAUUUCUAUUUGUUAUAAAGAUGCUAGUCCUUUCAUGAUUAUGUGAUAGGUGGUGCAUGGCCGUUCUUAGUUCGUGGAGUGAUCUGUCUGCUUAAUUGCGUUUCACUAAGGUCCCAGUAAUCUAAGGUAUGCUCGUCUACUUAUCUCAUAUGACGCUGAUAGACCCCUCGUAAGAGCGCGUUGUCUAUUGCGUUAAUAUAUGUAACAAGUGACACAUACUGUUGGGAUCUGAAAGCAACGAACGUGACCGCAACGUCUUGUUGCCUUUCUAAUUUAUUCUAAUUCUUUUGUAAUUAGUUUAAUAACAAAGGCUAUUCUUUAAACUAGACGGACCGCUGUUUCUCUUUUAAACCAGAGGAAGGUUGCGGCAAUAACAGGUCUGGUGAUGC
rnacentral:rRNA from 1 species